rnacentral:rRNA from 1 species
AACGAACGCUGGCGGCAGGCCUAACACAUGCAAGUCGGACGCUCCAGCAAUGGAGAGUGGCAGACGGGUGAGUAACGCGUGGGAACCUUCCCUAUGGUUCGGAAUAGCCCAGGGAAACUUGGGGUAAUACCGAAUAAGCCCUUCGGGGGAAAGAUUUAUCGCCAUUGGAUGGGCCCGCGUCGGAUUAGCUAGUUGGUGGGGUAACGGCCUACCAAGGCGACGAUCCGUAGCUGGUCUGAGAGGAUGAUCAGCCACACUGGGACUGAGACACGGCCCAGACUCCUACGGGAGGCAGCAGUGGGGAACAUUGGACAAUGGGCGCAAGCCUGAUCCAGCCAUGCCGCGUGAGUGACGAAGGCCUUAGGGUUGUAAAGCUCUUUUGGCGGGGAAGAUAAUGACGGUACCCGCAGAAUAAGCUCCGGCUAACUUCGUGCCAGCAGCCGCGGUAA